CGGGGAACAAGGAUGAGUUACUAGUUUACAACGCUAAACCCAGUGCCUGGGACCGAGAAAUACUCGAUAUAUGUUAAUUGCUAUUGUAAUGCCGAGUCCGGGCAAGAUACUUAAUUUCCCUGAGCCUCAAUGUCCUUCUCGAUAGAAUGAGGAUGAUGGUGAUGAAGAUCUCUUCCUCAGAGGGGUCUAUGAGCAUUAAAUGAGAUACCUGCAAAGUGCUUAGCUAGCAUUGUCUUAGGCACAUAGCAAAGGCGGGUGUUUUGCCAUCUUUAUUUUUCUGCCACAUCACUCCCUCUCAGUUGCCUCCUGUCUAGCCCAGAAAUUAAGUGGAGGGUGGAUGGAAUAGCCCUGGCUUCCUUAGAAGUAUCUGGAACUGCCUGCUGCCUUUCUGAAGCCAAGGGAAAAACCCUUCUUGCCUUUCUUCUCCACCAGCAGAUUAUUCCAUGGCCUUUCCUUUCUCCGGUGGGAAGAAGAAAAAAGGGCAUUCUACAUUUUCCAUCUUAGAUCAGGCCCAAGUCUAAACUAGAUCCAGCCUGCUGCAAAUUUAGCCUAGAGUGCAUGCCUGUCUUAGCUUUUUUUUUUUUUUUUUUUUUUUGGUAGGAGCCAGAGUCCCUUCACUCCACGGCUUAUCCUCAACCCCCUAAUCCACUUUGUUUACUUUGUUCUGUAUCCAGGGAGAGAUGCCUAAAAAGAUAACACUUUUCAAGGAUCACACUGAAAGGCAGGAGCCUAAUCUGAUGGGAACAUCACAGUCCUCAGCCUGGCUUACCGUUUGACUUUAGGCUAACCAGUGGCUCUCUGUGGUCCUCAUUUUCCCCAUGAGCACAAUGGUGGCUUACUCACCGCCCGCUGGCUGGCUGCUAACUCGAAAGUGAACUUCUGCACACGGCGCUGCCUCUUCUGGAAGAGGAGGGACCCUCUGUUGUUGCGUAGUGACAGCUCCUCCAUCAUCAGGUCCUGGGGCACGCUCAGCUUCUUGCCCAGGUCCAGCGUAGGGACUGCCAGGAAAGGCCAGAGCGGGCUCUCACCACCCCAUCCCCCAUACACUCCAGGCCCCACCUCUCGAAGCAUGGCAUGCUGUGUGUAAGAAUGCCUGUUUCUCACCAAGCUUGCCGACACCGGGUGUCAUGAUUGUUUGAAAUCUUUGCCCACCUGAUGGGCAAAAAUGACACCUCAGAGUUUAAUUUGCAUGUGUUUGUUGCUCAGUGAAGUUUAGCACUGUUUCCGAAGUUCUUUGGCCAUUUGUGUUUAUUGCAUGAAUUCCCCAUGCAGGUCUUUGCCCAUAAUGGUGGAGGUAGUGAGAAAUGGUCAGAUUCUCGAUAUUUUUUAAAGGUAAGCCAUGGGUAUGGGCAAUGAGUGAGAGAGGAUGACUGCAAGGUUUCUGGCCUUAGCCACUGGAAGGAUAGAGCAGCCAUUCACGGAGAUGGGGAAGGCAAAGGGAGGAGAAGGUUCUGGGAAAGAUCAGGAGUUCAGUUUUAGACCUGUGUUCUUUUAACUUUAAAAUAGCCUUUUAUUAUUAUAAAAAAGCAUAUAUGGGCCAGGCGCGGUGGCUCACGCCUGUAAUCCCAGCACUUUGGGAAGCCAAAGCAGGCGCAUCACCUGAGGUCAAGGGUUCGAGACCAGCCUGACCAACAUGGCAAAAACCCAUCUCUACUAAAAGUAGAAAAAUUAGCUGGGCGUAGGUGGCGCAUGCCUGUAAUCCCAGCCACUCUGGAGGCUGAGGCAGGAGAAUCACUUGAACCCAGGAGGUGGAGGUUGCAGUAAGCCGAGAUUGCAUUGCUGCACUCCAGCCUGGGUGACAGAGUGAUUUUCCAUCAAAAAAAAAAAAAAAAAAAAAAAAAAAAAAAAGCAUAUAUGGGCCCUGAGGAAAGUUGGACAAUACAGAUAUCAGACAAAAAAGAGAAAAAUACCAUUAUCUAUCACCCAGAGACUGCCACUAUUAACACCUUAGUGUAUGUCCUUUCAUAUCUUUUUCAAUGACUAUAUUCCUAUGAGGUUUUAACCAAAAUAAAAUUAUAGCAUACAUGUUUUGUAAUUUUUUUUUUUUUGAGAUGUCACCCAGGCUGGAGUGCAAUGGCACAAUCUCGGCUCGCUGCAACCUCCGCCUCCCGGGUUCAAGCAAUUCUCCUGCCUUAGGCUCGUGAGUAGCUGGAUUACAGGUGCGCACCACCACGCCCAGCUAAUUUUUGUAUUUUUAGUAGAGAUGGGGUUUCAACAUGUUGGCCAGGCUGGUCUCAAACUCCUGACCUUGUGAUCCGCCCCCCACCCCCCCUCGGGCUCCCAGAGUGCUGGGAUUACAGGCGUGAGCCACCGCUCCCGGCCUGUAACUUGUUUUAUCAAGAUCUUUACAAGUUAAAGAUCUCCACAUUUCCAAGUGAACAAAUUUUUGUUUUACCUAAUAUCUAGUCCAUAUCCAAACUCUGCUAAUUGUCUCCAAAACUGGGCACACUAAGUUUGAGGAGACUUGUAGGCAUCUAAGUAGUGGUGCUGAGGAGGGAGAUAGAUGUGUGAAUCUGGAGAAAACUGACCUGGAGGUGAAAUGUUGGGCAUCAUGAGCUUUUACUGGUAUUUACUGGUAUUUGUUGUUGUUUUUCAAUGAAGAACGUUACAUUUAUUUCUUUUCUCAUAGUUGGAACUAGUCUUUACAGCUAUUUAGAGGAUUUUCAGGGUGAUGGCUGUUCUUAGUAGUUUGAGACCCAUCCCUAUCCUUUGUGCGUUUCCUACCAGCCAAAUUCAAACUUUCACGUUUGGCCAACAAAGGAAGCCUUUUGCAGGACAGAGGGGACAGAAUGGUGAGGACCUUGGCAGGUGAGAGCCCUGUGUGGGCAGCACGGCCUGCCUAGUCCAUCUCUAAAAUCAGAUACACAUACGUUCAUAUUCCAGCUCCAUAAAUGGUAUUUUAAGCUGGGAGGCUGGAUGAGAUCAUAAAGAAAUGAGAAUAGGUAAAGAGGAUCAGAGACGGAGCCUGGGGCCUCCAACAUUUACAGUGAGGCGGUGAGGAGGAACCAAGCCAGGAGCCUGGGCAGGAGCAGCCCACAACAUAGGAAGAAACUAAAGAGGAUGGCAUCCUGGAAAUAAAUGAUGAAAGCAUUUCAGCAGUUUCUAUGGAGUGUUUGGGUGUGAAAGCCUAACUGGAGAGGGUUCAAGAGAAAAUGGACAGAAGAACAAGUUUAACCACACCAUGAGGAAGCGAUAAGCCAAAUCCAGGACGCAGGACAUUCUACAGGACAACUGGCCUGGUUUUUCAAACAAACGAGUUUCACUCUUGUUGCCCAGGCUGGAGUGCAAUGGCAUGAUCUCGGCUCACUGCAACCUCUGCCUCCCGGGUUCAAGCGAUUCUCCUGCCUCAGCCUCCCGAGUAGCUGGAAUUGCAGGCAUGCACCAUCACGCCUGGCUAAUUUUGUAUUUAUAGUAGAGAUGGGGUUUCUCCAUGUUGGUCAGGCUGGUCUCGAGCUCCCAACCUCAGGUCAUCCGCUUGCCUCAGUCUCCCAAAGUGCUGGGAUUACAGGCGUGAGCCACCUCCCCCAGCUGAGCUCAAUAUUUAAAAAAAAAAAAUGGCAGGCACAGUGGCUCACAACUAUAAUCCCAGCACUUGCAGAGGGCAAAGUGGGUGGAUUGCUUGGGCCCAGGAGUUCAAGACCAGCCUGGGCAAUAUAGCAAGACCCUGUCUCUAUUAAAAAAUAAAAAAAGAUAAAAUCUAUUUGACUGAGUAUUUCUAUUUCUAGGAAUUUAUUCUCGGGGAAAAAGUUGAAUAAAUAUGUCCAAAGAUACAUGUAUAAGAAUGUUUAUUGCAGUGGGGUUUAAAAUUGUGAAAACUGGGACUCAGUCUCGUGGUGGAUGCUGCCAGAUGCCCCUUAUUAGUGGCUAAGAGUUCACACCACCACCUUCUACAGAGAACUGCCAGUGGAAUGGAUGCUCCACAGCGCCCUUGCCUCAGGUGGGAUGAAUUCUGUGGAGCAAUUCAUGCUCGAGAGCUCCCCGCGGGGUCACACUGAACUGGACAGCCGCUGAGCCCACAUCCUCGCUCAGCAGUACCCCACCCUAGGCUGCAUUCCUCCUUCCCUUCCGAGAGCACGUUCUCAAUAAGUCACUUGCACAAGGCUCCUCUGUUCUGCCCCGAAGGAUCUCACCCCAGACAACCCUCAUCAGGGGAUGGUUAAACACACAUGACGUGUCCAAACAGCAGAAAGCUGGUAAGCACGGGGAAGGAAGGCGUGAGA
rnacentral:lncRNA from 1 species